rnacentral:tRNA from 1 species
GGAGGAGUGACCGAGCGGCUUAAGGAGCGCGCUUGGAAAGCGCGUGUAGGGGACACCCUACCGUGGGUUCGAAUCCCACCUCCUCCGCCA